rnacentral:rRNA from 1 species
AUUGAACGCUGGCGGCAGGCCUAACACAUGCAAGUCGAACGAGUGGCGGACGGGUGAGUAAUGUCUGGGAAACUGCCUGAUGGAGGGGGAUAACUACUGGAAACGGUAGCUAAUACCGCAUACCAUAAGAUGUGCCCAGAUGGGAUUAGCUUGUUGGUGGGGUAACGGCGCACCAAGGCGACGAUCCCUAGCUGGUCUGAGAGGAUGACCAGCCACACUGGAACUGAGACACGGCCCAGACUCCUACGUGAGGCAGCAGUGGGGAAUCUUCGGCAAUGGACGAAAGCCUGACCGAGCAACGCCGCGUGAAUGAAGAAGGUUUUCGGAUCGUAAAACUCUGUUGUUAGGGAGGCGGUAUCUAACCAAGAAGCCACGGCUAACUCCGUGCCAGCAGCCGCGGUAAUAC